rnacentral:rRNA from 1 species
GUGAACGCUGGCGGUAGGCCUAACACCUGCAAGUCGAACGGCAGCACAGUAAGAGCUUGCUCUUACGGGUGGCGAGUGGCGGACGGGUGAGGAGUACAUCGGAAUCUACUUUUUCGUGGGGGAUAACGUAGGGAAACUUACGCUAAUACCGCAUACGACCUACGGGUGAAAGCAGGGGAUCUUCGGACCUUGCGCGAUUGAAUGAGCCGAUGUCGGAUUAGCUAGUUGGCGGGGUAAAGGCCCACCAAGGCGACGAUCCGUAGCUGGUCUGAGAGGAUGAUCAGCCACACUGGAACUGAGACACGGUCCAGACUCCUACGGGAGGCAGCAGUGGGGAAUAUUGGACAAUGGGCGCAAGCCUGAUCCAGCCAUACCGCGUGGGUGAAGAAGGCCUUCGGGUUGUAAAGCCCUUUUGUUGGGAAAGAAAAGCAGCAGGUUAAUACCCCGCUGUUCUGACGGUACCCAAAGAAUAAGCACCGGCUAACUUCGUG